CUGCCUCCCGGGCGACUUCCACCACCGCGUCUCACCACCGCAGUAUUAACCUGAGGUCUUUAAGGGAGAGGAAAGGAGACACUUGCAAAAGCCAAAGAUUGACCGAGUUACCUGAGGCCAGGAAGAGGCAGCCCUCGAACCUGACGUCACAGCGCAGUCCUCCCUGUUGGCCCCGUGGCCCAGCCUAUACCGCUUACUCUCAAGACGGGCGGAGGACCGUUCUUCUGGGUCAGAACUGGUGCCCUCCAUAGAACAAACCAAAAAGUGUCCCUCCUGCCGACUCACCUGAUGUGUGGAUCAAGGAAGCACCUACUAUCCCGGGCAGCCGGCUUUCCUCUCCCACAGUUCCUGUCCGUAUACCACAGAUCAAAGGCCUGGGCACUGCUGUGUGUCAGAAGUGACAAGCACUUUACUUUCUGGCAGUUUUUGUGUCUUCUAGUCGCUGUUGACCCUCUGGGGGACAGUAACGUCAUGGUUUUUAGGUUUUUUUUUUUUGUUUUUUUUUUGGUUUUUUUUGGCGUGUGUGCUGUGUUUUUGUAGAUCCUCACGGCCCUGUGCUGGGCUGUAAUGGGAUCGCCUAUUUAAAGACACUACCGUGAUCUCAGAUGUAUAUAAUGGGUUUUUUGUUUUGUUUUUGUUUUUUUACUAUGAUGGGAUUGUUUCAUUUCUCAUGUUAAUGUGAGAGACGUAUGCCAAAUGAUUAGUUGAUGUAUUUUUUUUAAUUUAAUAUUUAAAUAAAAUAUUUGGGGGGAAAUCUUGACUUUCCCUUAGUUCAC
rnacentral:lncRNA from 1 species